UGUGAAGAGUUAACUGUAGACCCAGACAGUCCCCUGCUGAUCUGGUAAUGAGUAAGCAACGCAGCUGAAUGUCAAUAGCUUGUUGUGAACUUGGGUAACCCAGCUGAGCCCUGCUGCUUGCCAAAGCUGGAGGAGGUAAUCAGCUUGACCUCUAUGACCUUCCUGAGGCUGUUUCUGUGUCUUGCAUCCACAAGUCUGUUUGCAUAUGACUGCUACGUGCUGCUUUGACUGAGUGUGAAACUGUUUUAUAACAACUAUGCCUGCGUCAGCCCGAUGGAAUUUACAGGCAACAAGGAAGAACACACACAACACCAGAGAAAUCAUGGUGACCACAGUUGUUUCAGAAGGUGUCUGCCAACAGUCUCCACAGACUCUGGGUGGAAAUGAUCUGCUCCUCCCCCAACAGCCCACUAUGAAGGAAGGGAAGAAGGAAAUAUGGGUCUGACUGUCAGAAAGAAGGAGGUGAGGCUGUUGGGAAGGAGGACUUAGCACAAAAUAGCUAUAAACUAAUAACUAGUUAUUUGUAGUUAGUUCUUUUCCUCAGUAAUAAAAACACAGCUACAGUAUGAUUGUAAUGUAAC
ensembl:lncRNA